CCAGUGUGGAGCCAUUCUCAAAUGCCUUCUGAUAAAUAAAAUGAGGAGCUCGGGGUGCCCCAGCCGGGCGCUGCGGGGCACUGCGGGGCUCCCCGGCCGCCCCCACCUCCUGCACGGGGUCAGAACUGCAGAGCAAAAAGCGAAAUGGCUUUGGCUAAAAAAAAAAAAAAAAAAAAAAAAAAAAAAAGGAAUGUCUGCUCUGCACUUAUCAGUUCUUUGGGUUAAAGCGACAGCUCUGACAGUCUGUGAUGUCAUAAAAGCAAUAAUAACCAAACAGGGAAAUAGAGUCUGGCACCACGCAUUUGUGUGCUCCUCUCCUUCCUUCUCCCACUGGGUGAUGUGCCUGGGGUCAGCAGUGCUGGAGCCCUCUCCGGUGAGACAAGUGCAAACGUUGGGCCAUGGAAGUCCAAGAGUCCUCAAAGGAGUGCAGAAACAUCACAAAAGCUGAUCCUGACUUCUGCAUGGCACCUUUCUGCAGUCAGCUAGUCUAUGGAACACGUGCACCGAACAUGAAGGUUCCUUUUUUGCGUAAUACCUGUAACCACGGGGUGGUAUUUAUAGGCUGAAAAGAAAAUCCACACAAAGAACAGAGCGUCAGAAAAUCAUAUUUUGCACUUCUUUAUUUAUCUGGAAAAGGCAAGCAAGAUGUUUCAUUUGUCUCAUUUGAAGCACACGCUGCUAGAAGCCCCUCAAAUGUCAGGAAUUAUAAUAGAAUUACACUAUGACAGAGUGCUGAGGGAGGAUUUCCAGGGUUUGCACAGCGCUUGGUUUGGGGGAAGGAAUGCAGGCGCUCCUUGACACGAAAUGCAGCUUCAUCAGCAGCACCCGUGUGUUCUGCGAGCAGUGACGCACGAGGGCAGGGUGCCCCACAUUGGGCUCCCAGCACCGCCUGCUGAGCUCCAUUCAGUCCAUGCAGGCUUUUAGAGACAUGAGGAGCUCCAGCUAUGUGGGACCAAGUCGUGUCUCAGAGCGAGGAGCAGUGGCCGUGAGCACAGGCAGGUGGGCAGUCAGGGCACGGCCAUGGCAGGGAGAGAUGUUCCCAUUUCUGCAGCAUCUGGGUUGAGGGUUGGGUUGGUUUGGAGAAGCGACCUGCUUUACUGCAGGGGCUCUGUGGGGCUCUGUGUGCUCUGGGGUUGUAUCCUGCCACGGCAGCUGAUGAUGGACUGAGAGCCACGAGUGUGUUGGCUCUGGAAAGAGACCACAAGAAAUGCUGGCAGUUGAGACCCACACCAUUUCAGUGCCUCGCAGGACAACACCGGGGAUACAAAUUCAGCCCAUAACCCCAGGAAGCUCACCCACUUUGGGUAGUUUCUCUCUGCUUUUGACCAUUUUGUUGGCUUGAGUUCAGAGGGGCACGUGCCAUGGGAAGGUUUUCUUCCCUUCUCUCAUGUGCCACCUGCCUUCAGGAACAGGCACAGAGCUGUCACAGGUGCAGUGCAGAACAGGCGGCGGUUUACAAAGCAUAGUGCUGACAGCAGGCAAACCACUUCUGUCCUGACACCUGGCCCAGAAACAGCAACAGGAAAGCUGCAAGGAGAGCAAGCAGGAGAGCUGCUGUUCCAGCACCACAAAGAUUGUUUCCUCCUUUUCCAGCUCUUCCUUUUGGAUCCUUAUGCCAGCUCCGUCUUUCUGGCCAGGCUUUGUUUUCUUUGAAACUUUUCUUGGUGUGACUUUCCAGAUGCUUUCAUGGUUGAUAGUUUUCUUAAAUAGAUGUGAGAUGCAAAUCUGCUCCGAGGUUUCAGCUAAGCAGGGUGAUGAGAAGGGACUCAUUUUACAGUGUCCCUGCAGGUGAGAAGAGGGGUGCCCAUGGCCUGUGCCACCUGCGCACCUUGGCAUUUGAAGCUGCAGUAUUUUUGGAUAGGUUGAGCUGUCCUGUGAAUGGGGCAGGGUCCAAUAAAGCUGUUGCACUUGUCCCA
rnacentral:lncRNA from 1 species